rnacentral:rRNA from 1 species
GAUGAACGCUAGCGGCAGGCUUAAUACAUGCAAGUCGAGGGGCAGCACGGGUAGCAAUACCUGGUGGCGACCGGCAAACGGGUGCGGAACACGUACGCAACCUUCCCAUAACUGGUGAAUAGCCUUCCGAAAGGGAGAUUAAUACACCGUAACAUAACGAGUAGGCAUCUACUUGUUAUUAUAGGCUUCGGCCGGUUUUGGAUGGGCGUGCGCCUGAUUAGGUAGUUGGCGGGGUAACGGCCCACCAAGCCUGCGAUCAGUAACUGGUGUGAGAGCACGACCAGUCACACGGGCACUGAGACACGGGCCCGACUCCUACGGGAGGCAGCAGUAAGGAAUAUUGCGCAAUGGACGAAAGUCUGACGCAGCGACGCCGCGUGGGGGAUGAAGGUCUUCGGAUUGUAAACCCCUUUCGGGAGGGAAGAUGGAGUGGGUAACCACUUGGACGGUACCUCCAGAAGCAGCCACGGCUAACUUCGUGCCAGCAGCCGCGGUAAU